rnacentral:rRNA from 1 species
ACAUGCAAGUCGAACGGAGAGUGAUCAAUUACUCUGAAUGUCCAACGGGUGAAUAACGCGAGUGUGACCUGCCCCAAAUCCCGGGAUAACAGCUCUAACGGGCUGCUAAUACCGGAUGUGGUCAUCGGGUUUAUAAGCCUAUGACCCAGAGCAGACGUUCUUCGGAGCGUUGUCACUUUGGGAGGGACCUGCGUCCCAUCAGCUAGUUGGUAAGGUAACGGCUCACCAAGGCGACGACGGGUAGGGGACCUGAGAGGGUGAUCCCCCACACUGGCACUGAAACACGGGCCAGACACCUACGGGUGGCAGCAGUAGGGAAUAUUGCACAAUGGGCGCAAGCCUGAUGCAGCAACGCCGCGUGCGCGAUGAAGGCCUUCGGGUCGUAAAGCGCUUUUCUGGAGGACGAGGAAGGACGGUACUCCAGGAAGAAGGCUCGGCUAACUACGUGCCAGCAGCCGCGGUAAAACGUAGGAGCCAAGCGUUAUCCGAAUUCACUGGGCGUAAAGCGCGUGCAGGCGGCUGGGUAAGUUGGAUGUGAAAUCUCCUGGCUCAACUGGGAGAGGCCGGUCAAGACUAUUCGGCUCGAGGACGUUAGAGGAAGGUAGAAUUCCCGGUGUAGUGGUGGAAUGCGUAGAUAUCGGGAGGAAUACCCGUGGCGAAAGCGGCCUUCUGGGCCGGUCCUGACGCUCAGACGCGAAAGCCAGGGGAGCGAACGGGAUUAGAAACCCCGGUAGUCCUGGCUGUAAACGAUGUAGACUAGGCGUGGGUGGGGUAAAAGCCAUCCGUGUCGCAGCAAACGCAGUAAGUCUACCGCCUGGG